rnacentral:rRNA from 1 species
UACGUAGGGUGCAAGCGUUGUCCGGAUUUAUUGGACGUAAAGAGCUCGUAGGCGGUUCGUCGCGUCGGCUGUGAAAACCUGAGGCCCAACCUCAGGCCUGCAGUCGAUACGGGCGGACUUGAGUACUGCAGGGGAGACUGGAAUUCCUGGUGUAGCGGUGAAAUGCGCAGAUAUCAGGAGGAACACCGGUGGCGAAGGCGGUUCUCUGGGCAUUACCUGACGCUGAGGAGCGAAAGUGUGGGGAGCGAACAGG